rnacentral:rRNA from 1 species
GAGUUUGAUCAUGGCUCAGGAUGAACGCUAGCGGCAGGCUUAAUACAUGCAAGUCGAACGGUAAGGUCUCUUCGGAGAUACACGAGUGGCGCACGGGUGCGUAACGCGUAUGCAACCUACCUUUAACUGGGAAAUAGCCCCGAGAAAUCGGGAUUAAUGUCCCAUACUAUUCUGAGAAUGCAUAUUCUUAGAAUGAAAGCUCCGGCGGUUAUUGAUGGGCAUGCGUGACAUUAGCUAGUUGGUGAGGUAACGGCUCACCAAGGCUACGAUGUCUAGGGGUCCUGAGAGGGUUAACCCCCACACUGGUACUGAGACACGGACCAGACUCCUACGGGAGGCAGCAGUAAGGAAUAUUGGGCAAUGGACGCAAGUCUGACCCAGCCAUGCCGCGUGAAGGAUGAAUGUCCUAUGGAUUGUAAACUUCUUUUAUGCAGGAAAAACAUCCCGGUCGUGAAUCGGGACUGAUGGUACUGUAUGAAUAAGCAUCGGCUAACUCCGUGCCAGCAGCCGCGGUAAUACGG